CUCGUAGGCGGUUCGUCGCGUCCGGUGUGAAAGUCCAUCGCUUAACGGUGGAUCCGCGCCGGGUACGGGCGGGCUUGAGUGCGGUAGGGGAGACUGGAAUUCCCGGUGUAACGGUGGAAUGUGUAGAUAUCGGGAAGAACACCAAUGGCGAAGGCAGGUCUCUAGGCCGUUACUGACGCUGAGGAGCGAAAGCGUGGGGAGCGAACA
rnacentral:rRNA from 1 species